rnacentral:rRNA from 1 species
CCUACGGGAGGCAGCAGUGAGGAAUAUUGGUCAAUGGGCGAGGGCCUGAACCAGCCAAGUCGCGUGAGGGAGUACUGCCCUAUGGGUUGUAAACCUCUUUUGUCGGGGAGCAAAAGCCGGACGUGUCCGGCUGUUAGAGUACCCGAAGAAAAAGCAUCGGCUAACUUCGUGCCAGCAGCCGCGGUAAUACGGAGGAUGCGAGCGUUUUCCGGAAUUAUUGGGUUUAAAGGGUGCGCAGGCGGAUUUUUAAGUCAGCGGUCAAAUCGUGGGGCUCAACCCCAUCCAGCGGUUGAAACUGGGGAUCUAGAGUGUGCGAGAGGUAUGCGGAAUGCGGGGUGUAGCGGUGAAGUGCAUAGAUAUCACGCAGAACCCCGAUUGCGAAGGCAGCAUACCGGUGCACAACUGACGCUCAGGCACGAAAGCGUGGGUAUAGAACAGGAUUAGAUACCCGGUAGUC